rnacentral:rRNA from 1 species
ACGGGAGGCAGCAGUGGGGAAUAUUGCACAAUGGGCGCAAGCCUGAUGCAGCGACGCCGCGUGAGCGAAGAAGUAUUUCGGUAUGUAAAGCUCUAUCAGCAGGGAAGAUAAUGACGGUACCUGACUAAGAAGCACCGGCUAAAUACGUGCCAGCAGCCGCGGUAAUACGUAUGGUGCAAGCGUUAUCCGGAUUUACUGGGUGUAAAGGGAGCGUAGGCGGUUUUACAAGUCUGAUGUGAAAGCCCGGGGCUCAACUCCGGUAUUGCAUUGGAAACUGUAGAACUAGAGUGUCGGAGGGGUAAGUGGAAUUCCUAGUGUAGCGGUGAAAUGCGUAGAUAUUAGGAGGAACACCAGUGGCGAAGGCGGCUUACUGGUCGAUUACUGACGCUGAGGCUCGAAAGCGUGGGGAGCAAACAGGAUUAGAUACCCUGGUA